rnacentral:tRNA from 2 species
GCCGAAGUGGCGGAAUGGCAGACGCAGGGGACUCAAAAUCCCUCGUCCUCCGGGACAUGAGGGUUCGACUCCCUCCUUCGGCA